UAGAAACCAAAUGGAGUCCAGACUGGUUG
rnacentral:piRNA from 1 species